rnacentral:misc_RNA from 1 species
CAACCCUCAGGCCCCCGGGCCUGGCGUUGGGGAUCGGCGGAGCCCUCUGGGCACACGCCGCCCCCUAAAUCUAUUGGCGGUCUCGCUGCAGCCCACUGCGUAGUAGCUAACACCUCGCAACUGGAAAGCGGCGCGGCCAUGCCGUAAAACACCCAACUUUAUGA